CCUACGUGAGGCAGCAGUGAGGAAUAUUGGUCAAUGGACGAAAGUCUGAACCAGCCAAGUCGCGUGAAGGAUGACUGCCCUAUGGGUUGUAAACUUCUUUUAUAUGGGAAUAAACUGUUCCACGUGUGGGAUUUUGUAUGUACCAUAUGAAUAAGGAUCGGCUAACUCCGUGCCAGCAGCCGCGGUAAUACGGAGGAUCCGAGCGUUAUCCGGAUUUAUUGGGUUUAAAGGGAGCGUAGGUGGUUUGUUAAGUCAGUUGUGAAAGUUUGCGGCUCAACCGUCAAAUUGCAGGUGAAACUGGUAGUCUUGAGUAUAGUAGAGGUAGGCGGAAUUCGUGGUGUAGCGGUGAAAUGCUUAGAGAUCACGAAGAACUCCGAUUGCGAAGGCAGCUCACUGGACUGCAACUGACACUGAGGCUCGAAAGUGUGGGUAUCAAACAGGAUUAGAUACCCCGGUAGUC
rnacentral:rRNA from 1 species